AGUUAAUGAAUCCUGGAGAGU
rnacentral:miRNA from 1 species